UACAGAGGGUGCAAACGUUGUUCGGAAUUACUGGGCGUAAAGCGCGUGUAGGCGGCUUGGCAAGUCGGGUGUGAAAGCCCUGGGCUCAACCUAGGAAGUGCACUCGAAACUGCCUCGCUUGAAUGCCGGAGAGGAAAGCGGAAUUCUCGGUGUAGAGGUGAAAUUCGUAGAUAUCGAGAGGAACACCGGUGGCGAAGGCGGCUUUCUGGACGGUGAUUGACGCUGAGACGCGAAAGCGUGGGGAGCAAACAGG
rnacentral:rRNA from 1 species